GUUUCGCGUAGUCUACAGACGAGGUUUUGUAUCCGUGGCUCAGGAUGAACGCUGGCGGCGUGCCUAACACAUGCAAGUCAACGGGCUUAACAUGAACCUAGUGAUUGUUAGUUAGUGGCGGACGGGUGAGUAACGCGUGGAUAACCUGCCGUAUGCAGGGGGAUACAAGUUGGAAACAGCUGCUAAUACCGCAUAAGCGCACAGUACCGCAUGGUACGGUGUGAAAAGAUUUAUCGGCAUACGAUGGAUCCGCGUCCGAUUAGCCAGUUGGCGGGGUAACGGCCCACCAAAGCGACGAUCGGUAGCCGGCCUGAGAGGGCGGACGGCCACAUUGGGGCUGAGACACGGCCCAAACUCCUACGGGAGGCAGCAGUGGGGAAUAUUGCACAAUGGGGGAAACCCUGAUGCAGCGACGCCGCGUGAGUGAAGAAGUAUCUCGGUAUGUAAAGCUCUAUCAGCAGGGAAGAAAAUGACGGUACCUGACUAAGAAGCCCCGGCUAACUACGUG
rnacentral:rRNA from 1 species